rnacentral:rRNA from 1 species
UGGGGAAUUUUGGACAAUGGGGGAAACCCUGAUCCAGCCAUCCCGCGUGUGCGAUGAAGGCCUUCGGGUUGUAAAGCACUUUUGGCAGGAAAGAAACGUCAUGGGUUAAUACCCCGUGAAACUGACGGUACCUGCAGAAUAAGCACCGGCUAACUACGUGCCAGCAGCCGCGGUAAUACGUAGGGUGCAAGCGUUAAUCGGAAUUACUGGGCGUAAAGCGUGCGCAGGCGGUUCGGAAAGAAAGAUGUGAAAUCCCAGAGCUCAACUUUGGAACUGCAUUUUUAACUACCGGGCUAGAGUGUGUCAGAGGGAGGUGAAAUUCCGCGUGUAGCAGUGAAAUGCGUAGAUAUGCGGAGGAACACCGAUGGCGAAGGCAGCCUCCUGGGAUAACACUGACGUUCAUGCACGAAAGCGUGGGGAGCAAACAGG